rfam:Tupaia chinensis contig49231, whole genome shotgun sequence.
GUGUUGUAUGAAAGGAGAGAAGGUUAACACCCCCCUUGACAAGGAUGGAAGAGGCCCUCGGGCCUUACAAAAGACCUACAGAAAAGGCAUUGCAACCUACUUCGUGGCAUCUAACCAAUGUUUCUA